rnacentral:rRNA from 1 species
UACGUAGGGUGCAAGCGUUAAUCGGAAUUACUGGGCGUAAAGCGUGCGCAGGCGGCUUUGCAAGACAGAUGUGAAAUCCCCGGGCUCAACCUGGGAACUGCAUUUGUGACUGCAAGGCUAGAGUACGGCAGAGGGGGAUGGAAUUCCGCGUGUAGCAGUGAAAUGCGUAGAUAUGCGGAGGAACACCAAUGGCGAAGGCAAUCCCCUGGGCCUGUACUGACGCUCAUGCACGAAAGCGUGGGGAGCAAACAGG